AUUGAACGCUGGCGGCAUGCUUUACACAUGCAAGUCGGACGGCAGCGGGGGUGCUUGCACCUGCCGGCGAGUGGCGAACGGGUGAGUAACAUAUUGGAAUGUACCGAGUAGUGGGGGAUAACCAAUCGAAAGAUUGGCUAAUACCGCAUACGUCCUGAGGGGGAAAGCAGGGGAUCUUCGGACCUUGCGCUAUUUGAGCAGCCAAUAUCUGAUUAGCUAGUUGGUGGGGUAAAGGCCCACCAAGGCGACGAUCAGUAGCGGGUCUGAGAGGAUGAUCCGCCACACUGGGACUGAGACACGGCCCAGACUCCUACGGGAGGCAGCAGUGGGGAAUUUUGGACAAUGGGGGCAACCCUGAUCCAGCCAUGCCGCGUGUCUGAAGAAGGCCUUCGGGUUGUAAAGGACUUUUGUUAGGGAAGAAAAGGGAAGUGCUAAUACCACUUUUUGCUGACGGUACCUAAAGAAUAAGCACCGGCUAACUACGUGCCAGCAGCCGCGGUAAUACGUAGGGUGCGAGCGUUAAUCGGAAUUACUGGGCGUAAAGCGAGCGCAGACGGUUACUUAAGCAGGAUGUGAAAUCCCCGGGCUUAACCUGGGAACUGCGUUCUGAACUGGGUAGCUAGAGUAUGUCAGAGGGGGGUAGAAUUCCACGUGUAGCAGUGAAAUGCGUAGAGAUGUGGGGGAAUACCGAUGGCGAAGGCAGCCCCCUGGGAUAAUACUGACGUUCAUGCUCGAAAGCGUGGGUAGCAAACAGG
rnacentral:rRNA from 1 species